GAUGAACGCUGGCGGCGUGCCUAAUACAUGCAAGUCGAGCGAACAGACGAGGAGCUUGCUCCUCUGACGUUAGCGGCGGACGGGUGAGUAACACGUGGAUAACCUACUUAUAAGACUGGGAUAACUUCGGGAAACCGGAGCUAAUACCGGAUAAUAUAUUGAACCGCAUGGUUCAAUAGUGAAAGACGGUUUUGCUGUCACUUAUAGAUGGAUCCGCGCCGCAUUAGCUAGUUGGUAAGGUAACGGCUUACCAAGGCGACGAUGCGUAGCCGACCUGAGAGGGUGAUCGGCCACACUGGAACUGAGACACGGUCCAGACUCCUACGGGAGGCAGCAGUAGGGAAUCUUCCACAAUGGGCGAAAGCCUGACGGAGCAACGCCGCGUGAGUGAUGAAGGUCUUCGGAUCGUAAAACUCUGUUAUUAGGGAAGAACAAAUGUGUAAGUAACUAUGCACGUCUUGACGGUACCUAAUCAGAAAGCCACGGCUAACUACGUG
rnacentral:rRNA from 1 species